rnacentral:rRNA from 1 species
CAGCAGCCACGGGAAUACGUAGGGUGCAAGCGUUAAUCGGAAUUACUGGGCGUAAAGCGUGCGCAGGCGGUUCGUUAAGACAGAUGUGAAAUCCCCGGGCUUAACCCGGGAACUGCAGUUGUGACUGGCGAGCUAGAGUAUGGCAGAGGGGGGUAGAAUUCCACGUGUAGCAGUGAAAUGCGUAGAGAUGUGGAGGAAUACCGAUGGCGAAGGCAGCCCCCUGGGCCAAUACUGACGCUCAUGCACGAAAGCGUGGGGAGCAAACAGGAUUAGAGACCCGUGUAGUCCCUGUCUCUUAUAC